CUUGAAUCAAAUAAACGGGGAAUUUUUGGUGACUGGGCUUCAUCCACAGCUUAAAAUAUUAGAUAAUGGUCGUAUUCAAUUCAGUUCCAUUUGGAAUUUGUUUAUUGAACGUGAAGAUGCAAUCGAUUCAUUUUUAACUAAAUCAACUUUGGACAUUUUGACAAAUGAAAAUUACGAAAGUAACAUUGACACGUUAUACACUGUUUCACCCUAGGGAACAUAGUUUUAUUGAUCCACGUGUAAUGGAACCCGAGUCUAUGAAACGCAUUGAUGAAGUUUUCGACUUUGAACUUCCAAUUUUAAGAGCACGCAUGGAUUUCAAUUCAGUUGUUUGUUUCAGUCAUUUCAAUCUCACCAUAUGAUCAAAUCUAUUUGAUUUUUAGGUUUACAAAAAUAUUUCGAAUAGAAUCCGAGACUUUUUUUUCGGCGGCGGCAAAAUCAACCGGACGCACAUUUUACAGACAGUAAUUAAACAUUUUUAUUUGAAGAAUUUUGUUCUCGAUUCAAAUUUAAACGAAUUGUCCAAAUAUUUCAGUAUUUCUGUUGACACUGAUUUUAGCUACAGCAACAAAUACACAAAAGUUGCAAAUCUUCCGAUAAAGUUUUCAAUGCACGUAGAUGUGUUGAAUUAUUUGUUUCAGCGACCGAUUGGGAACAUUUUUCCCGACGACGACUAUAAAUUCCUCAACAAAAACUUGGUUCCGCGCCAAAUUAUUGAAAAUACUGCCAAGUUUUAUGCUGAUUUUGUAAAGUUUGGGAAUCCAAUGCCGAAUAAAGGUCCAAUCGUGCUUAAAAUGCCAAACUCAACUCAUUUGAAUUACUCUGACAUCAGAAACGAUGGAAUUUUUGCAGAAACCGAUUUAUACUUCGAUCG